GGUAGCUUGCCCGAGUGGUUAAGGCGGUAUACAAGAAAUCUAUUGGGCUUUGCCCGCACUGGUUCAAAUCCAGUAGCUGUCG